CUCUAGUGGUCUCCGGGCAUGUUUCCUGCGGCUGUUGCAUCACGGGAAAGCUCCUAAUUCCUGCCUGGGCCCAGCACAUUCCUGCCUGGGGGGCCGCUGACCGAGCUCGGCAAUGGUUUGUUCUCCGAUGGGGAGGCAGGGCCUCCUGCUUGGCCAAGGCCCCGCCUCCCACGAAAUGCCUGCAGGUCCUGAAGCCUGGCCCACUUCACCCCCAUUACUCGAUGGCCCCGUGGGCGUUUUCACCAGAGACACCUGAAACGUAACAUGCCAACGUCAUUAAUGAGUCACAGGAAAGGAGAAAAGCCGGCUUUCUACUGUAUCAUAGUUGUUUUCAGCGUUGGCCCCGCUAUCUCGCGUCGCAUCCGUUCCUCCCGCGAUCCGGGACUUGUUUGACGAGUCCGGUGAUGUGGCUCCAGGGCUAAUGGAACAGAAGGCGCGAGUGGAAAAUGCCGCCGCUGUUCGGGCGAUUGGCGAUCUAGGAACCAAGGAGAGAGAGGCAAACCAGCCUCCAAGAAAUCCAUCCGCCCAGGUCCUCCCGGUUCUGCAUAAUAUUUUGAGGGAAGACACAGUUCUGAGGCUCAAAGGAAAAUGAAAACCACUUUGCCAACUGAUCUCGGAGGCCUUCCAGCGCUCACAUCCCAGCAGCCCGGGGAGAUGAUGGUCUGUGUUUCCUAGUCCUUCGGCCUCUUGCAAAUGAUUCCGGCACCAAAGAGAAACCACACCCAGACGCCUGUCUGCAUGCUGCCUGCUGGGGGGACCAGAUGGCUGUCCCCUCCACCACCCACCCCCCUGAUGGGAAAAGCUCUCCCUCCGAGUGUGAGACCCAUCACAAAGAAAGGGCUUUCUUCUUUGCCAGGACCUCACCCUCCACUGCCUCAGAGAGAGCAUCUUCCCUUUGGCCUUUCCUGUUCACGUUCCCCUUAGAAAAUCCAGCGGCCUUGCGGUAAGACGGGGCAUGGUUUUCCCUCUUGGCUAAAUAGUUUCAUGUGCCGUC